rnacentral:rRNA from 1 species
UAAGACGAACCGUGCGAACGUUGUUCGGAAUCACUGGGCUUAAAGGGCGCGUAGGCGGCUUGCCAAGUCAGUGGUGAAAUCCUGCAGCUUAACUGCAGAAGUGCCUUUGAUACUGGCGAGCUCGAGGGAGGUAGGGGUAUGUGGAACUUCUGGUGGAGCGGUGAAAUGCGUUGAUAUCAGAAGGAACGCCGGUGGCGAAAGCGACGUACUGGACCUCUUCUGACGCUGAGGCGCGAAAGCUAGGGGAGCAAACGGGAUUAGAUACCCCGGUAGUCCUAGCCCUAAACGAUGGGUACUAGGUUGUGGACUAACAUGGGUUCACAGCCGAAGCAAAAGUGUUAAGUACCCCGCCUGGGGAGUAUGGUCGCAAGGCUG